rnacentral:rRNA from 1 species
GAUGAACGCUGGCGGCGUGCCUAAUACAUGCAAGUCGAGCGAACAGAUGAGGAGCUUGCUCCUCUGACGUUAGCGGCGGACGGGUGAGUAACACGUGGAUAACCUACCUAUAAGACUGGGAUAACUUCGGGAAACCGGAGCUAAUACCGGAUAAUAUAUUGAACCGCAUGGUUCAAUAGUGAAAGACGGUUUUGCUGUCACUUAUAGAUGGAUCCGCGCCGCAUUAGCUAGUUGGUAAGGUAACGGCGUACCAAGGCAACGAUGCGUAGCCGACCUGAGAGGGUGAUCGGCCACACUGGAACUGAGACACGGUCCAGACUCCUACGGGAGGCAGCAGUAGGGAAUCUUCCGCAAUGGGCGAACGCCUGACGGAGCAACGCCGCGUGAGUGAUGACGGUCUUCGGAUCGUAAAACUCUGUUAUUAGGGAAGAACAAAUGUGUAAGUAACUAUGCACGUCUUGACGGUACCUAAUCAGAAAGCCACGGCUAACUACGUG